rnacentral:rRNA from 1 species
UAGUCAUAUGCUUGUCUCAAAGAUUAAGCCAUGCAUGUCUAAGUAUAAGCGUUUAGUACAGCGAGACUGCGGAUGGCUCAUUAAAUCAGUUAUAGUUUAUUUGAUGGUCAAAUUACUACAUGGAUAACCGUGGUAAUUCUAGAGCUAAUACAUGCGUAAAAUCCUAACUACCAGCAAUGGUUGGAAGGGAUGUAUUUAUUAGAUUAAAAACCAAUACAGGUUUCGGCCUGUUCCAAUGGUGAUUCAUAAUAACUUCAGCGGAUCGCAUUAUACCUUU